rnacentral:rRNA from 1 species
UACAGAGGGUGCGAGCGUUAAUCGGAAUUACUGGGCGUAAAGCGUGCGUAGGCGGUUCCUCAAGUCCGUUGUGAAAGCCCCGGGCUCAACCUGGGAAUGGCAGUGGAAACUAGGGGACUGGAAUCUGGCAGAGGGGGGUGGAAUGCCGCGUGUAGCAGUGAAAUGCGUAGAGAUGCGGCGGAACACCGAUGGCGAAGGCAGCCCCCUGGGCUGAGAUUGACGCUCAGGCACGAAAGCGUGGGGAGCAAACAGG